rnacentral:lncRNA from 1 species
CCUCUUUCGUCCACUCUUUGCUCAUCUGAUCCACCUAUAAAAGAUGAAAAUAAAUGAUUUAGUUAAUUUUUUAAAAGAAUUUAAUAUCGAGUAUACAAUCUAAGUAGUACCUUGAAACUUCAAGUGCAAUCCAGCUCAAAGAAGUCAAUAAAGUUUCGCAAAUUCAAAGUUGUCCCAGAGAUGAAGUAAAGGAUCUACAUAUGGCCAGUUAGAAGAGAGAUCACCGAUUUGAAAUUCAUCCCUAAAUAUGCCAGCUCUUAUAACGAAAAAUAACUUAAAUCAAAUUUUCCAACCCAGAGAUGAACUACAGGCCCUACAUGUGGCAAGUUAAAGAAGAUUAUUGACUGCAAUCAAAAUGGUGUUGUAAUAUUUAACAAUGCAAUUCAGAUCAAGGAAGCCAAUAGAACUUCGCAACUGGAAAUUCAAAGCACUCCAGAGCUGCAAAUUCAAAGCAGUCCCAGAGAUGAACUAAGUGCUGGAAUAAGGCAACAUUUAAAAAUAUAUUAACCUGACAAAAAAUAAUACAUCAUAAUGGACAAAUAUACUUUUACAACCUGAAAACUUCAAUGUUGGCCUUAUUAUAAGGAUUAUAUGCAAGUUUUGGGCUGAAGCUUGGACAUUCCUGCAAGAGAAAAAAAGUUUGAAACUAAUUAGCCCCCUUCAAAUUAAAAGCUGUAUGUAAAUUGAGUUGGCCAUGUUAUCACUGCAGGCUUUAUUUUCUAUAUGGAACCAGAGACUUGAUGCAAAUAUUCUGUACCUAAAAUUAAACAUAAGCAAUGAUACAGUAUCUAAAGGCUCAUUAUAGUUCUACCAUGGGAACUCAACCUUCAAUUGGGACAAUAAUCAGUUUUGCAGGCACUUCAAGGACCAUUAUUUAUUACUUUCGUACCACAGGAACAACAAGAAUAGAAACGAUAUCGCUUCAAUUUACAAGAGGAUAAGUGAUUACCAUAUGUAAAGGACUUCUAUAUAAUUAACUAAAACCCACAACUUUCAUUCACACAUUAAAAAUGUAUCUGGAAAAAGAAAAACAAGUCCAACGACAUAGUUAUUGGCAUAAUCAAACAAACAACUUAUUGUCACUUGAAACAUGUCUCGAAGAAAGCUCUUAAGUAAAGUAGAUCAAAUUUCAUAAAACAUUUGUCUUAACUAAUGUCACGAAGAUUUACAGGCAAGUUGGUUGAAAGCUUAACAGUGGAAGUAUUUGGUAGCUAAUGUUUAAGAGGCAUUGGAAGAUUGAUGCAUUGGAAGCGUUGUAACAGAAACUGAACAUGAUUGCUUUGGUUGGAAGUGGAGAUUGCUUAUCAUCAGAGCAACCCCUCUUGUCUAUUUUGAAAAAAAUAUGAACUUAUAACUUUAGGCUUCAGUAUCUUCAGCCACGAACAGUAAGAAACAUAUAUUCAUAAUAUUAAACGAUGACAAAGACAUUGUAUUUCAGUGAAAUGUUUGUCUAUGCCCAAUAGUACAAAAGGAAAAAAAUAUUUGUUGUUAGACUUGAGAGUCUUUGACCAUGAUUAGUAAGAUGUAGGAUAUAUACCGUUCUUUUUCAUAUAGUAAAUAUGCCUAUAGCUAAAAACAAUAGUAUAAAAUAAUAAGGAAGCAGACAUAUUUCCGUGAAAUGUUUGUGGUGUUUCAGAGUGCAAAAAGGGAUGAUACUGGUUAGGAGGCUUGAGAUUGUUUUCAGCCACAAACAGUAAAAUAGAUAUCUUCCAGUAAAAUUGACAAAGAAGACAUAUUUCGUCUCAAAGUUUGCCAUGUCAAUAUGUCUGUGACUAAUCUAUAUUGUAUUUGACUUCUUUUUUCUUGCUUUCUAGGUUGAUAUAGGAACUCAAAUUGUAUGAACUUUAAUAUAAAUGCACCUGUAGAUAAACAUUAUAAGAUGAAGUAAAACUAUCUUCCAAAGUUCCUAGUGACAAUGAUUAUACCGUGAAUCUAAAAAAAUUCCCAAUUUUUAUUAUUGAUAUAUUAUAUGCCACAGAGAUAUCUUAAAGUAAAAACUCCAUUUUGACAUAAGAUCUACCAUUUUGCAAGUAUUUCACUUAAUUUAUGGAAAUAACCUUGCAUUUCAAAUGGUUAUUUCCAUACAUCCAUGUAGUCCAAUCAACACCAAUAUAACAACUCAAGAAAGAGAGUAAAAAAAAGGUCAUGAUACCUCAAGAGAUUUUCCUCUCUGUAUUAUUUUCGGAAAUAAAUUGCCUCUCAGGGAAUACUAGCCUUCACCAUCAUCUAUGUCUGCAUUUGAAGAUCCAUCUUCGUAGAAUUAAUUAGUCAUUUUAAUUUCUUUUUAAUCACUUUCUUCUUCUCUCGUAGCCUCUUCAUCAACUACACUGGUAAUAUAAGUUUUGGCAUGCCAAGAAAUAUGAUAUAUUUGUACAGAUUAAUACAUAGUAGUGCAAAAAGCAAGUAACUUACUGGUGGUAUUUAACACCCUCUCUGCUCCUUCGGGGUAGAAGUAAGGUCUGCAUACACACUACCCUCCCCAGACCCCAUUAGUGGAAUUUCACUAGGUCGUCGUUGUUGUUGUUGUAUAAGUGGGUGGAAUCUCCCAUUUAUCGAAACCUCGUUUUUUAGUUUUGGUCUCAUGAAUGAUUAGAUAGAAUGAUCAAUACAAUAAGCUUAAAAUACAAAUGAUCAUGCUAAUAUGCACUCAAUCUUUCUUCAAUUGCAGCAUUAUUUGUAUGCGACACUCAAAGGAAUUCAUUGAGAACUUCUUUCAAACACUUGUGAGCCAAAAAAUUAUAAUACUGCUUCAACAAAUAUGGAGCAGAUUUCCCCCCAAAUGUUUUGAAACAUCAAUUCAAUAUGCUACAAACAUUUCACUCCUAUGUAGUGCCAACAAUUAAAUCUACAGUUAUACCCAUUUACUUCAAAACUUCUCUUGAAAUAGCACAAGGGUAAUAUGUAAUAAUGAAGCAGACAUAAUACAGUGAAAUCCAAGAGCUCAAGAGUGAAAUAUCAAUCAAGCAUACAAGCUUCCAAAUACCAUAAACAGAAUCAGAUGACACACUUGGGAAAUUCCGAUUCUUUUUUCUACCAACACAGUUAGGGGUACCUACUUGGAUAUUAAGCAAAGAAUUUAUUCACCCAUUUAGAGAUAAAUUAGAAAAUAAAAUCUUAAUAAAACAAGAUUUGUAACUUACCCAAGUACAGAGAACAUUGAUGGUCUUACUUCAGCUGGUAGCAGAUACAUGGAUCACAGAGGAAAGGGACUCUUGCACCAUAAAGCACGCCCUUCAAAGAAGGGCAACAUGAAAGAACCAGACCUUGACUCUUCGUCGCUACCACAAUAUUACUUUCCCUAGACUCUGUGAGGUUGAAGAGACGUGCUAGAGCCUUGAAAGAGUGCCUUGCAGGAGUGACUCGCCGGAGGGGUUAGGGUUUCAAGGGGUCGAAGCUACGAGAAGGUAUAUGGAUAUUUUGAUAUGUUCUAAGGUUAAGAGAACAAGUUUUAGGAAUUAAAAAAAAGGCUAGGUGCUAGUAAAAUUG